UACAGAGACUGCAAGCGUUAUUCGGAUUCACUGGGCGUAAAGGGUGCGCAGGCGGCCGAGUGUGUGAGGCGUGAAAGCCCGGGGCUUAACCCCGGAAUUGCACCUCAAACUACACGGCUAGAGCAUUGGAGAGGGUAGCAGAAUUCCUGGUGUAGCGGUGAAAUGCGCAGAUAUCAAGAGGAACACCGGUGGCGAAGGCGGUUCUCUGGGCCUGUACUGACGCUGAGGAGCGAAAGCGUGGGGAGCGAACAGG
rnacentral:rRNA from 1 species